rnacentral:rRNA from 1 species
AUUGAACGCUGGCGGCAGGCCUAACACAUGCAAGUCGAACGAGUGGCGCACGGGUGAGUAAUGUCUGGGACACUGCCUUAUGGAGGGGGAUAACUACUGGAACCGGUAGCUAAUACCGCAUCCCAUCGGAUGUGCCCAGAUGGGAUUAGCUAGUAGGUGGGGUAACGGCUCACCUACGCGACGAUCCCUAGCUGGUCUGGGAGGAUGACCGGCCAAACGGGAACGGGGACACGGUCCAUACUCCUACGGGGGGCAGCAGUGGGGAAUAUUGCACAAUGGGCGCAAGCCUGAUGCAGCCAUGCCGCGUGUAUGAAGAAGGCCUUGGGGUUGUAAAGUACGUUCAGCGGGGAGGCGUUACCCGCAGAAGAAGCACCGGCUAACUACGUGCCAGCCGCCGCGGUAAUUC